rnacentral:rRNA from 1 species
UCGAGAAUCUUCCGCAAUGGACGCAAGUCUGACGGAGCGACGCCGCGUGCGGGAUGAAGGCCUUCGGGUUGUAAACCGCUGUCAGUGGGGUGGAAAUCACAUGAGGCUAUCCUCAUGAGUUGACCUAACCGCAGAGGAAGUCCGGGCUAAGUACGUGCCAGCAGCCGCGGUAAUACGUACCGGACGAACGUUAUUCGGAAUCACUGGGCUUAAAGAGUGCGUAGGCGGCUUUACAGGUGGGGUGUGAAAUCCCACGGCUCAACCGUGGAACUGCGCUCCAAACCGUAGGGCUUGAGGGAGACAGGGGUGAGCGGAACUGAUGGUGGAGCGGUGAAAUGCGUUGAUAUCAUCAGGAACACCGGUGGCGAAGGCGGCUCACUGGGUCUCUUCUGACGCUGAGGCACGAAAGCUAGGGUAGCGAACGGGAUUAGAUACCCCCGUAGUCC